rnacentral:lncRNA from 1 species
CAUACAAAAUUGGAGCUGGGCACCAAAAAACAGGAGAGAGUAAGGAUGUAGUGCAAUGAGAAAAUGGGUUUUAAGCUUCUUAUUAUGCCGGAAGUGGGUGAGCUGCCACCAAGAGCGUCUUUGAUCUAUGGCUUUGAAUAUGGUGAGCAAUAAAUUUUGUUCUUCAGUAAAUGAGUAGGAAACACGACUGAGAAGGUUUGUGUCGCUUGCAGGGCAUGGAAACUGAGUAAGCUGGGUAUCAGAAACAAGUGGAGGAGAACAGUUUGGACCAGGAAAGCCCUGGCAGGUCAAAGUCUGAGGAAAAACAAGAUGGAACUUUGGGACAGUUGAGCAAGGACCACAAAGAAGAGGCAGAAGUUUCAUGGGAAAUGCCGGGGCAUGAUGUCUGGACAGGAAGCUGCAAUUUCCGGACAAACUGACUUCUAAUUGACUUGCUGAUAUAUUUGCCCAAAUGUACUACCGGUAAUUAAGGAGAACGAGUAUCAGUGCGUUACUGUGAUGUUGUUCAUCUUGCAUCGCAGGCUAGUGAGGCUUUGGAAGUACUGCUGAGCUACAGGUUUUUUGUGAGUACAAAAGCCACAAGCUUUUGAACUACAAACUAUUUGUGACUUAGACUGA